UCUUAUAUCCAUUUUAUUUCACUUUUCACUUUAUUACAGUUAUUAUUUCACUUUAUGAGUACAAAAGGGACUAUUUUCAUAAGAGUAUAUAUAGUAGCCGGACUAUAUAUAUAGAGAGAGAGAGAGAGAGAGAGUUGAGCUAGAAUACUAUCAGUAGCAAAUGAACUCCGUUGCCACCCAUUUGUUUUCGAUGAUGGAGCCUCCAAAUCGACGAUCGGUACCGUUGAAAAUGAUCAAUACCACUUGAAAUAUUAAAAAAUCAAAUUUCAUGCUUAUUCGAUAUUGUUCUCUUAUCCAUCAAAUGAGCGUAAAAAUGAACGGCUAAAAAUGAAUAUCCUCUAAAAAGUGAUGAUAGAAAUUUUAUAAUCAAGAUCGAGAGUAUAGAUCUUGUUCUAAAUAGUUUAAAGAAUUUUCUAACCAAAAUUCAAUUGAUUUGGAUAGCUUUACACCGUUAAACGAGAAAACGCCUUAUAUCUACCAUUAAAAUUACAAAUUUUGAAACCCUUUGAUCAUUAGGUCAAUGAUGUCGAAAAGAUUUGAAAUUUGGUUUCUAGAUACUUCAAAUGGUAUAGAUCAUGUUCAAUGGUGUCGAUCGUCGAUUUGAAGGCUCCAUCAGCGAAAACAAACGGUUGGCAAUAGAGCCGGUUUGCUACCGACAGUAUUACAGCUCAACUCUAUAUAUAUAUAUAGAGAGAGAGAGAGAGAGAGUCCGGCUGGGAUAUUAUCAAUAGCACGAAACAUUUGGUGCUAUCAAGUCACCGGUG
rnacentral:lncRNA from 1 species